AGUGGCGAACGGGUGCGUAACGCGUGAGUAUCUGCCCUUAGGAGGGGGACAACAGUUGGAAACGACUGCUAAUACCCCAUAUGUCUACGGAUGAAAGAUUUUAUCGCCUGAGGAUGAGUUCGCGUCUGAUUAGCUAGUUGGUGAGGUAAAGGCUCACCAAGGCGACGAUCAGUAGCUGGUCUGAGAGGAUGAUCAGCCACACUGGGACUGAGACACGGCCCAGACUCCUACGGGAGGCAGCAGUGGGGAAUUUUCCGCAAUGGGGGCAACCCUGACGGAGCAAUACCGCGUGCGGGAGGACGGCCUGUGGGUUGUAAACCGCUUUUCUCAGGGAAGAAGACCUGACGGUACCUGAGGAAUCAGCAUCGGCUAACUCCGUGCCAGCAGCCGCGGUAAUACGGAGGAUGCAAGCGUUAUCCGGAAUUAUUGGGCGUAAAGCGUCCGUAGGUGGUUAAUCAAGUCUGCUGUUAAAGAGCGGAGCUCAACUCCGUUUAAGCGGUGGAAACUGGUUGACUAGAGAGUGGUAGGGGUAGAGGGAAUUCCCAGUGUAGCGGUGAAAUGCGUAGAUAUUGGGAAGAACACCGGUGGCGAAAGCGCUCUACUGGGCCACAUCUGACACUGGUGGACGAAAGCUAGGGGAGCGAAAGGGAUUAGAUACCCC
rnacentral:rRNA from 1 species